GUAAAGCGAUACUGAAACUACACCCGUAGAAGAAUCAGAAUCUUUGUUCUGGACGGGGGUUCAAUUCCCCCCAUCUCCACAG
rnacentral:tmRNA from 1 species